AGAGUAAUCCGACUUCCGACUUCCGACAUCCGACUUCCGUUAUGGUAGGGGAGCAUUCCUAACGGGCAGAAGCUGUACCGAAAGGAGCAGUGGACUAUUAGGAAGAGAGAAUGCUGGCAUAAGUAAGCGAGAAGGCAGGUGAGAAUCCUGCCCGCCGUAAACCUGAGGUUUCCUGGGGAAGGCUCGUCCGCCCAGGGUAAGCCGGGACCUAAGCCGAGGCCGGAAGGCGUAGGCGAUGGACAACUGGUUGAGAAUCCAGUGCCACCUGAAGCCGCUUGAGCGAAGGGGUGACGCAGGAGGAUAGGUGAAGCGCACGGAUGGAAGAGUGCGUCCAAGCACGUAGGGUAAUGGGCAGGCAAAUCCGCCCAUUGAAAAGCCUGAGGUGUGACGGGGAGUGAAACAUAGUAGCGAAGUCACUGAGUCCAAACUGCCAAGAAAAGCCUCUAGCAAGGCAACAGGUGCCCGUACCGAAAACCGACACAGGUAGGUGAGGAGAGAAUCCUAAGGCGCGCGAGAGAACCCUCGUUAAGGAACUCGGCAAAAUAACCCCGUAACUUCGGGAGAAGGGGUGCUCUGAUAGCGUGAGUAUAUAAACAUGUACGAGCGUGAGAGAGCCGCAGUGACCAGGCCCAGGCGACUGUUUAGCAAAAACACAGGUCUCUGCCAAAUCGAAAGAUGAAGUAUAGAGGCUGACGCCUGCCCGGUGCCGGAAGGUUAAGAGGAAGUGUUAGCGCAAGCAAAGCACUGAGCCGAAGCCCCGGUGAACGGCGGCCGUAACUAUAACGGUCCUAAGGUAGCGAAAUUCCUUGUCUGGUAAGUUCAGACCCGCACGAAAGGCGUAACGAUCUGGGCGCUGUCUCGACGAGGGGCUCGGUGAAAUUGUAAUACCGGUGAAGAUGCCGGUUACCUGCGAUAGGACAGAAAGACCCCGUGGAGCUUUACUGCAGCUUGAUAUUGAAUUUUGGUAGUUGAUGUACAGGAUAGGUGGGAGACUAAGAAGUGAGGUCGCCAGGUCUCAUGGAGUCAACGGUGGGAUACCACUCUUUAAUUGCUGGGAUUCUAACCUGGGCCCGUGAUCCGGGUCAGGGACAGUGUCUGGCGGGCAGUUUGACUGGGGCGGUCGCCUCCCAAAGAGUAACGGAGGCGCCCGAAGGUUUCCUCAGCGCGGAUGGAAAUCGCGCGAAGAGUGUAAAGGCAUAAGGGAGCUUGACUGCGAGACAGACAUGUCGAGCAGGGACGAAAGUCGGGCUUAG
rnacentral:rRNA from 1 species